AGUGAACGCUGGCGGUAGGCCUAACACAUGCAAGUCGAACGGCAGCACAGUAAGAGCUUGCUCUUACGGGUGGCGAGUGGCGGACGGGUGAGGAAUACAUCGGAAUCUACUUUUUCGUGGGGGAUAACGUAGGGAAACUUACGCUAAUACCGCAUACGACCUACGGGUGAAAGCAGGGGAUCUUCGGACCUUGCGCGAUUGAAUGAGCCGAUGUCGGAUUAGCUAGUUGGCGGGGUAAAGGCCCACCAAGGCGACGAUCCGUAGCUGGUCUGAGAGGAUGAUAAGCCACACUGGAACUGAGACACGGUCCAGACCCCUACGGGAGGCAGCAGUGGGGAAUAUUGGACAAUGGGCGCAAGCCUGAUCCAGCCAUACCGCGUGGGUGAAGAAGGCCUUCGGGUUGUAAAGCCCUUUUGUUGGGAAAGAAAAGCAGCAGGUUAAUACCCCGCUGUUCUGACGGUACCCAAAGAAUAAGCACCGGCUAACUUCGUG
rnacentral:rRNA from 1 species